AGGCUGGGGAUAACAUUUGGAAACAGAUGCUAAUACCGAAUAAAACUUAGUGUCGCAUGACACAAAGUUAAAAGGCGCUUCGGCGUCACCUAGAGAUGGAUCCGCGGUGCAUUAGUUAGUUGGUGGGGUAAAGGCCUACCAAGACAAUGAUGCAUAGCCGAGUUGAGAGACUGAUCGGCCACAUUGGGACUGAGACACGGCCCAAACUCCUACGGGAGGCUGCAGUAGGGAAUCUUCCACAAUGGGCGAAAGCCUGAUGGAGCAACGCCGCGUGAGUGAAGAAGGUUUUCGGAUCGUAAAACUCUGUUGUUAGAGAAGAACGUGUGUGAGAGUAACUGUUCAUGCAGUGACGGUAUCUAACCAGAAAGCCACGGCUAACUACGUGCCAGCAGCCGCGGUAAUACGUAGGUGGCAAGCGUUGUCCGGAUUUAUUGGGCGUAAAGGGAACGCAGGCGGUUUUUUAAGUCUGAUGUGAAAGCCUUCGGCUUAACCGAAGUCAUGCAUUGGAAACUGGAAGACUUGAGUGCAGAAGAGGAGAGUGGAACUCCAUGUGUAGCGGUGAAAUGCGUAGAUAUAUGGAAGAACACCAGUGGCGAAAGCGGCUCUCUGGUCUGU
rnacentral:rRNA from 1 species